rfam:Mycobacterium vanbaalenii PYR-1, complete genome.
UGAACUCCCCCAGGGCCGGAAGGCAGCAAGGGUCAAUGGGCUCUGGCGGGUGCGCGGGG